CCUACGGGCGGCAGCAGUGGGGAAUAUUGGGCAAUGGGCGCAAGCCUGACCCAGCAACGCCGCGUGAAGGAAGAAGGCUCUCGGGUUGUAAACUUCUUUUCUCAGGGACGAAGCAAGUGACGGUACCUGCGGAAUAAGCCUCGGCCAACUACGUGCCCGCAGCCGUGGUAAUACGUAGGUGGCAAGCGUUCGCCGGAUUUACUGGGUGUAAAGGGCGUGUAGGAGGGGACGCAAGUCAGAUGUGAAAACCACGGGCUCAACCUGUGGCCUGCAUUUGAAACUGUGUUUCUUGAGUACUGGGGAGGCAGACGGAAUUCCUGGUGUAGCGGUGAAAUGCGUAGAUAUUAGGAGGAACACCAGUGGCGAAGGCGGUCUGCUGGACAGCAACUGACGCUGAGGCGCGAAGGCGUGGGGAGCGAACAGGAUUAGAUACCCUUGUAGUC
rnacentral:rRNA from 1 species